UACGGGGGGGGGCAAGCGUUGUUCGGAAUUACUGGGCGUAAAGGGCUCGUAGGCGGCCAACUAAGUCAGACGUGAAAUCCCUCGGCUUAACCGGGGAACUGCGUCUGAUACUGGAUGGCUUGAGAUUGGGAGAGGGAUGCGGAAUUCCAGGUGUAGCGGUGAAAUGCGUAGAUAUCAGGAAGAACACCCGUGGCGAAGGCGGUUCUCUGGGACGGUACUGACGCUGAGACGCGAAAGCGUGGGGAGCGAACAGG
rnacentral:rRNA from 1 species